UACGUAGGGGGCAAGCGUUGUCCGGAAUCAUUGGGCGUAAAGAGCGUGUAGGCGGCCAGGUAGGUCGGUUGUGAAAACUGGAGGCUCAACCUUCAGACGUCGACCGAAACCAUCUGGCUAGAGUCCGGGAGAGGAGAGUGGAAUUCCUGGUGUAGCGGUGAAAUGCGCAGAUAUCAGGAGGAACACCGGUGGCGAAGGCGGGAUCCUGGGCCAGUACUGACGCUGAGGAGCGAAAGCGUGGGGGAGCAAACAGG
rnacentral:rRNA from 1 species